rnacentral:rRNA from 1 species
UAAAAAAUUUUGGCGGUAUUUUAAGCUUAUUAGAGGAAUUUGCUCUGUGAUGGACACAACGCCUUAAUCUUACUUAAUUUAGUAAUUUAAAUCAGUUUGUAUACCACUAUAUUAAUUAUAUUGAAUAGUUAUUUUUAAAAUUUUUUUUUGAAAAAUAUAUUAAGUCAAGGUGCAUCUAAUAAUUAUGAAUGAAGUGAAUUACAUUAAUUUUAAUGUAAUUUUUUACAUGAAAAAAUUAAUUAGGAUUUAAUAGUAAAAUACUAAUAUUAUGAGUAUUUGAAUCAAGCUCUAAAAUAUGCACAUAUCGCCCGUCGCUCUCAGAAGUGAGAUAAGUCGUAACAAAGUAAAAAUACUGGAAAGUGUUUUUUAAAAUGAAAUCAUUCGAUGUUUCAUUUACAAUGAAAAUUUUGUUGUUUAACCAUUUUAA